CCGAUGAAUUGUAUGUUUGCAUAAGCUUUCCUUUUAGUAUUUUAAUUACUUUUUAUUUUCUUAGAAAUCAAUACAAGAUGAAAAACGGAAACCAAGAAAAGAAAGUCUGAGCAAAGUGCUAGAUUUAGAUAUCUACUACCAAGAAAUUUCAUCUACUGACUCCAGCUCCAAGGACAGCAGUACUACCACAAGAAGAAAGAGAUACCCAAUUGAGCGCAGGACUUCCAUUUUACGAGCUACUGAGCGGUCGAGGGUUGCAGAAAGACCCCUGGAAGAGAG
rnacentral:lncRNA from 1 species